rnacentral:rRNA from 1 species
GAAGGUGUGCUGUGAGGCAUGCUGGAGGUAUCAGAAGUGCGAAUGCUGACAUAAGUAACGAUAAAGCGGGUGAAAAGCCCGCUCGCCGGAAGACCAAGGGUUCCUGUCCAACGUUAAUCGGGGCAGGGUGAGUCGACCCCUAAGGCGAGGCCGAAAGGCGUAGUCGAUGGGAAACAGGUUAAUAUUCCUGUACUUGGUGUUACUGCGAAGGGGGGACGGAGAAGGCUAUGUCAGCCGGGCGACGGUUGUCCCGGUUUAAGCAUGUAGGCGGAGGUUCCAGGUAAAUCCGGUACCUU